AUUGAACGCUGGCGGCAGGCCUAACACAUGCAAGUAGAACGAGUGGCGGACGGGUGAGUAAUGUCUGGGAAACUGCCUGAUGGAGGGGGAUAACUACUGGAAACGGUAGCUAAUACCGCAUCCCAUCGGAUGUGCCCAGAUGGGAUUGGCUUGUAGGUGGGGUAACGGCUCACCUAGGCGACGAUCCCUAGCUGGUCUGAGAGGAUGACCAGCAAAACUGGAACUAGGACACGGGCAAGACUCCUACGGGAGGCAGAAGUGGGGAAUUUUGCACAAUGGGCGCAGGCCUGAUGCAGCCAUGCCGGGUGUAUGAAGAAGGCCUUCGGGUUGUAAAGUACUUUCAGCGGGGAGGCGUUACCCGCAGAAGAAGCACCGGCUAACUCCGUGCCAGCAGCCGCGGUAAUUC
rnacentral:rRNA from 1 species